CUGGAACUUCGUCUGUUACUUCACUCCCUUUAUUCCACAGGCCUCUUCUCUCAUCCUCACCCCAACAGUUUCCUAUUUGUGGUUCUCACUUAGUUUUGGCAGGUGUUCAUAUUUGAUGUAUUUCCUGGAACAUGUUAGUGGUUUCUUUGGAGAAAACCAACAAUUCACCAUUUCUUUUGGUGGGGGAUUUAUUUUCUGGGAGAUCUCACACCACCCUCAUGAGCUUCUGCCCUAGCUUUACAGGUUUUCCUUGAUUUAAAUCUUAAUAUGAAAGGUUAAAUUGAGUUUAUUGAACUCCCAAAAAGUCCAAGACUAGGAAAUCAGGAUGAAAUGGGACCAGAGAGAAAGAAAGGUGCUUUCUUGGAGUUGGAACUGGCAGAGCGGGUAUCAGGACAGACUUCACGUAUGCAUGGAGAGAUAUGGAAUCUACAUACGACUGAAAACCUGGACAUAUAUGUCUCAAUUCUAUUUCUCCUUUUUAGGGGCUAGGGGUAGAAGUGACAAAAAGGGUGAUCUCCUCCACAGAAGACCCGCUUCUCUAUUUACACGAUGCACCAUUACCUCUGAAGUAGCCAUCACCGAUCCUGCAUUCUCAGUUAUCCAUAGAUCCAGACACAGAACUUUCCCUUUGUUACAGAAAAUUUUAUUGCAUAGCACCAAUCUGGAGUAUUUUAUGUCCAUCAACAAUAAGCAACUUUUAAGGCUUGGAACAUCAUCCCUAUCCAAGAACCAUGAAACUGAAUAAAACAAAUCAUU
rnacentral:lncRNA from 1 species